AUUGAACGCUGGCGGCAGGCCUAACACAUGCAAGUCGAACGAGUGGCGGACGGGUGAGUAAUGUAUGGGCAACUGCCUGCUGGAGGGGGAUAACUACUGGAAACGGUAGCUAAUACCGCAUACAAUCCGAUGUGCCCAGAUGGGUUGGGCUUGUUGGUGGGGUAACGGCUUACCAAGGCGACGAUCCCUAGCUGGUCUGAGAGGAUGACCAGCCACACUGGAACGUAGACACGGGCCAGACUCCUACGGGGGGAAGCAGUGGGGAAUAUUGUACAAUGGGCGCAAGCCUGAUGCAGCCAUGCCGCGUGUGUGAAGAAGGCCUUCGGGUUGUAAAGUACUUUCAGCGGGGAGGCGUUACCCGCAGAAGAAGCACCGGCUAACUCCGUGCCAGCAGCCGCGGUAAUAC
rnacentral:rRNA from 1 species